GGGGUAACCAUGACACAUUUUUAUWUUUAUCUCCAUAUCGUUUUGCCCAUAUACCUUUUUUUUUGCAAAAGGUUAGAACUGCAAGCUCCACAUAUGGAUAUUCCCUAAAUUUACACACAAUACCCAUUAUUAUCAGAACAUUAGGCUACCAACAAUGCAUUAUCUUGAUACAUGUAUUUUAGACAAAUAUAGACAACAGUCCUACUUCACUAGGCAAAAAUACAAAAUAUUCAGUACAAAUACCCAGCACCGGGUAGAAAGAGAGGGGUGUGUGCUUCCCUAGCGACAGCUAUUGUAAAUAAUCAAAGGAAAAUGGCGACCGGGUAGGUCUGGUUGCUAUUGCAACCUUGUCAAAAGGUUGUUACCGUCAAUUUCCUCCUAUUUAAUUCCAGAAAUGGUCAGCAGGCCACAGUCAAGUAAGGCGUGCUGAUGAUGUCUCUGAUCUGGAAGUACUAUGCUGACCCAGUGACGGUUCUGCCCAGUAAGUGGCUUUUCUCCUCUAGAGCGAAUGGUGGCCUUCCCAUCUGGAGUAGCAGAUGGUGUUGGAAUCCCAUGGCGGCUCGUUGUUUGUAACAAGGUAGUGGCUAUAAUGAUCCAAGCAGUGGCUUGACAGCCUGAACGUUACUGUCUACGCUGUGAGACCAAAUUAUGCAAUUGUAUACUCUGGGCCUUGAUAUUUUGUUCAUUUUUUUGUGUUGAAUGUUUUUGAGAAACUGCACUGUUACAUUUUAAUAAAUCAUCAGGAUUGUUUUGUAGCAUUUUCUUUCUUUACCAAUCCAUUCCUCGUCAUGAAACUACAUCAGACUUCUCAAAGAUGUCUUAUGAACUAAGUCUGGCUUAAUAAUGGCUACAAUUUGUUCCUUUUCUAAAUUAUUCAAGCCAUUUCACUCUUUUACCUACAUGCAACAGUGUUCUGCUGUGCAUCUUUGUUUGUCGGUUGCCUACUUUAUAACCCUCUUCCAGAAUUAUUAUUAUUUUGACAUAUCAAUAAAAACCUGCAAAACAUUA